UACGGAGGAUCCGAGCGUUAUCCGGAUUUAUUGGGUUUAAAGGGUGCGCAGGCGGGAGAUUAAGUCGGCGGUGAAAUUUUGCAGCUCAACUGUAAAAGUGCCUUCGAAACUGGUUUCCUUGAGUGUAGAUGAAGUAGGCGGAAUUUGUGGUGUAGCGGUGAAAUGCUUAGAGAUCACACAGAAUAUCGAUUGCGAAGGCAGCUCACAAAGCCAAGAUUGACGCUGAGGCACGAAAGUGUGGGGAUCAAACAGGAUUAGAUACCCCCGUA
rnacentral:rRNA from 1 species